rnacentral:tRNA from 1 species
GCCCCCAUCGUCUAGUUGGCCUAGGAUUCGAGAUUCUCAUUCUCGCGACAGGGGUUCGAAUCCCCUUGGGGGUACCA